rnacentral:rRNA from 1 species
GUCGGGAAUAUUGCACAAUGGGGGAAACCCUGAUGCAGCGACGCCGCAUAAAGGAAGAAGGUCUUCGGAUUGUAAACUUUUGUCGACAGGGAAGAAAAAAGACAGUACCUGUGGAGGAAGCCCCGGCUAACUACGUGCCAGCAGCCGCGGUAAUACGUAGGGGGCAAGCGUUGUCCGGAAUGAUUGGGCGUAAAGGGCGCGUAGGCGGCCCGGUAAGUCUGAAGUGAAAGUCCUGCUUUUAAGGUGGGAAUUGCUUUGGAUACUGUCGGGCUUGAGUGCAGGAGAGGUAAGCGGAAUUCCCGGUGUAGCGGUGAAAUGCGUAGAGAUCGGGAGGAACACCAGUGGCGAAGGCGGCUUACUGGACUGUAACUGACGCUGAGGCGCGAAAGUGUGGGGAGCAAACAGGAUUAGAUACCCUUGUAGUCC